UACGAAGGGGGCUAGCGUUGCUCGGAAUCACUGGGCGUAAAGCGCGCGCAGGCGGUCCUUUAAGUCAGGGGUGAAAGCCCAGAGCUCAACUCUGGAACUGCCUUUGAAACUAGAGGACUUGGGUACGGGAGAGGUGAGUGGAAUUUGUAGUGUAGCAGUGAAAUGCGUAGAUAUUACAAGGAACACCAAUGGCGAAGGCAGCUUACUGGGCUACUCCUGACACUGAGGUACGAAAGCGUGGGGAGCGAACAGG
rnacentral:rRNA from 1 species